ensembl:rRNA 5S_rRNA 5S ribosomal RNA
GCUUACGGCCACACCGCCUGGUUCACGCCCGAUCUCGGGAAGCUAACAUAGGUUGGGCCUGGUUAGUACUUGGAUGGGAGACCGCCUGGGAAUACCAGGUGCUGUAAGCU